rnacentral:rRNA from 1 species
AGUCUGGUGCCAGCAGCCGCGGUAAUUCCAGCUCCAAUAGCGUAUAUUAAAGUUGUUGCGGUUAAAAAGCUCGUAGUUGGAUUUUGGGGGUGUGAACGUUGGUCGGCCUCUGGCUUGAACUGACGGUCCGCUUCUUCUGUCUGGGAAUUGCUUGCUCCUGCUUCACUGUGGGGCUUGUGAGACCUAGGACUUUUACUUUGAACAAAUUAGAGUGCUCAAAGCAGGCCUACGCAUUGAAUACAUUAGCAUGGAAUAACGUAUAGGACUCUGGCCCUAUUUCGUUGGUUUUAAGGACCGGAGUAAUGAUUAAUAGGGAUAGUUGGGGGCAUUAGUAUUUAAUUGUCAGAGGUGAAAUUCUUAGAUUUAUGAAGGACUAACUUCUGCGAAAGCAUUUGCCAAGGAUGUUUUCAUUAAUCGAGAACGAAAGUUAGGGGAUCGAAGACGAUCAGAUACCGUCGUAGUCUUAACCAUAAACUAUGCCGACUAGGGAUUGGAAGAUGUUAAUUCACGACUCCUUCAGCACCUUAUGAGAAAUCAAAGUCUUUGGGUUCCGGGGGGAGUAUGGUCGCAAGGCUGAAACUUAAAGGAAUUGACGGAAGGGCACCACCAGGAGUGGAGCCUGCGGCUUAAUUUGACUCAACACGGGGAAACUUACCAGGUCCAGACAUAGUAAGGACUGACAGAUUGAGAGCUCUUUCUUGAUUCUAUGGGUGGUGGUGCAUGGCCGUUCUUAGUUGGUGGAGUGUUUUGUCUGCUUAAUUGCGAUAACGAACGAGACCUUAACCUACUAAAUAGUCACGCUAAACCUUUGUGUUUGUGGCCGACUUCUUAGAGGGACUUUUGCGUGUUUUAACCAAAGGAAGUUUGAGGCAAUAACAGGUCUGUGAUGCCCUUAGAUGUUCUGGGCCGCACGCGCGCUACACUGACACAUUCAGCGAGUUUAUAACCUUGACCGGCAGGUCUGGGUAAUCUUUGAACAUGUGUCGUGAUGGGGAUAGAUCUUUGUAAUUAUGGAUCUUCAACGAGGAAUUCCUAGUAAGUGCAUUUCAUCAGAAUGCGCUGAUUACGUCCCUGCCCUUUGUACACACCGCCCGUCGCUCCUACCGAUUGAAUGGUCCGGUGAGUUGUUCGGAUCGACUGGCUCUCCUGGCAACAGGGGACCGUGUUGAGAAGUUCUGCUAACCUUAUCAUUUAGAGGAAGGAGAAGUC